rnacentral:piRNA from 1 species
UGACAAUGCCGAACUUCGAGUGGCCCAGA